UGCAUAUGUGUCCUGCCUCUCUGCUCCCAGCCGUUAAGAGGCCAGUGUUGAUCAGUGGCUGUCCAGGCCUUUCAGAGCCACUGACACGCCGGCAGCACAAUGAUGAUGUCACUGAUUCUACUGCUGGCCACCCUGGGGCUCCUUGUUCAGGAUUCAUCAGGAGAAAUCAUCCUGACUCAGUCUCCUGGAGCUCAGUCUGUUGUUCCAGGACAGACUGUCUCUCUCAGAUGUAAAGCCAGUUCACUUAUAGGUGAUGACAUUAACUGGUACCUUCAGAAAGCUGGAGAAGCUCCAAAACUCCUCAUUUAUGAUACUACAGCUCGUCAGCCUGGAGUUUCAGAUCGUUUCAGUGCAACAGCCCAACAGACUGACUUCACUUUGACCAUCAGAGGAGUCCAGACUGAAGAUACAGGAGUUUAUUACUGUCAGCAGCAUAACAGCUUCCCACUCACACAGUGAUACAACGUCGCACAAAAACCUCUCGCAGCUGGAGAGGAACUGAUCUGAAUCAACAGCUGCACAGAAAAUUAAACAUAAGACAUGACAAAAAUAUUUCUCAUAAUUAUGUGUAAAUUAAUAACAUUUCAAACAUGACAGUACUGGAUUUACGGACCAUGAUUUUGGGUGAAGAAUACAUUUAUAAACUUCUCUAACUUUUAGUCAACUGAUGUCAACUGUGUCAUUAGACAGUUCAUACAGAUGACAAUUCUUACUCUUUUUAAUAAAUUCAACACAAAACUCAGUGCAAAAGUAAAUCACUACAAAUGAAAUUGUACUAUAAAACUCAGAAACUAAAUGUUUAAUAAUGAAAUUUAAUCCACUUUGUAAAUAGUAACCCAUUAGAAAUCAUCUUCAUCUUUUUUUUUACAUUUGUGCUUGAGAUGUUACUAAA